rnacentral:tRNA from 1 species
GGGGUUGUGGCUCAGCGGUAGAGCGCUCGCCUCACAUGUAUGAGACCCUGGGUUCAAUCCUCAGCAUCACAU